rnacentral:rRNA from 1 species
UGUGAGCUCGAUGAGUAGGGCGGGACACGUGGUAUCCUGUCUGAAUAUGGGGGGACCAUCCUCCAAGGCUAAAUACUCCUGACUGACCGAUAGUGAACCAGUACCGUGAGGGAAAGGCGAAAAGAACCCCGGCGAGGGGAGUGAAAAAGAACCUGAAACCGUGUACGUACAAGCAGUGGGAGCACGCUUAGGCGUGUGACUGCGUACCUUUUGUAUAAUGGGUCAGCGACUUAUAUUCUGUAGCAAGGUUAACCGAAUAGGGGAGCCGAAGGGAAACCGAGUCUUAACUGGGCGUUAAGUUGCAGGGUAUAGACCCGAAACCCGGUGAUCUAGCCAUGGGCAGGUUGAAGGUUGGGUAACACUAACUGGAGGACCGAACCGACUAAUGUUGAAAAAUUAGCGGAUGACUUGUGGCUGGGGGUGAAAGGCCAAUCAAACCGGGAGAUAGCUGGUUCUCCCCGAAAGCUAUUUAGGUAGCGCCUCGUGAAUUCAUCUCCGGGGGUAGAGCACUGUUUCGGCAAGGGGGUCAUCCCGACUUACCAACCCGAUGCAAACUGCGAAUACCGGAGAAUGUUAUCACGGGAGACACACGGCGGGUGCUAACGUCCGUCGUGAAGAGGGAAACAACCCAGACCGCCAGCUAAGGUCCCAAAGUCAUGGUUAAGUGGGAAACGAUGUGGGAAGGCCCAGACAGCCAGGAUGUUGGCUUAGAAGCAGCCAUCAUUUAAAGAAAGCGUAAUAGCUCACUGGUCGAGUCGGCCUGCGCGGAAGAUGUAACGGGGCUAAACCAUGCACCGAAGCUGCGGCAGCGACGCUUAUGCGUUGUUGGGUAGGGGAGCGUUCUGUAAGCCUGCGAAGGUGUGCUGUGAGGCAUGCUGGAGGUAUCAGAAGUGCGAAUGCUGACAUAAGUAACGAUAAAGCGGGUGAAAAGCCCGCUCGCCGGAAGACCAAGGGUUCCUGUCCAACGUUAAUCGGGGCAGGGUGAGUCGACCCCUAAGGCGAGGCCGAAAGGCGUAGUCGAUGGGAAACAGGUUAAUAUUCCUGUACUUGGUGUUACUGCGAAGGGGGGACGGAGAAGGCUAUGUUGGCCGGGCGACGGUUGUCCCGGUUUAAGCGUGUAGGCUGGUUUUCCAGGCAAAUCCGGAAAAUCAAGGCUGAGGCGUGAUGACGAGGCACUACGGUGCUGAAGCAACAAAUGCCCUGCUUCCAGGAAAAGCCUCUAAGCAUCAGGUAACAUCAAAUCGUACCCCAAACCGACACAGGUGGUCAGGUAGAGAAUACCAAGGCGCUUGAGAGAACUCGGGUGAAGGAACUAGGCAAAAUGGUGCCGUAACUUCGGGAGAAGGCACGCUGAUAUGUAGGUGAAGUCCCUCGCGGAUGGAGCUGAAAUCAGUCGAAGAUACCAGCUGGCUGCAACUGUUUAUUAAAAACACAGCACUGUGCAAACACGAAAGUGGACGUAUACGGUGUGACGCCUGCCCGGUGCCGGAAGGUUAAUUGAUGGGGUUAGCGCAAGCGAAGCUCUUGAUCGAAGCCCCGGUAAACGGCGGCCGUAACUAUAACGGUCCUAAGGUAGCGAAAUUCCUUGUCGGGUAAGUUCCGACCUGCACGAAUGGCGUAAUGAUGGCCAGGCUGUCUCCACCCGAGACUCAGUGAAAUUGAACUCGCUGUGAAGAUGCAGUGUACCCGCGGCAAGACGGAAAGACCCCGUGAACCUUUACUAUAGCUUGACACUGAACAUUGAGCCUUGAUGUGUAGGAUAGGUGGGAGGCUUUGAAGUGUGGACGCCAGUCUGCAUGGAGCCGACCUUGAAAUACCACCCUUUAAUGUUUGAUGUUCUAACGUUGACCCGUGAUCCGGGUUGCGGACAGUGUCUGGUGGGUAGUUUGACUGGGGCGGUCUCCUCCUAAAGAGUAACGGAGGAGCACGAAGGUUGGCUAAUCCUGGUCGGACAUCAGGAGGUUAGUGCAAUGGCAUAAGCCAGCUUGACUGCGAGCGUGACGGCGCGAGCAGGUGCGAAAGCAGGUCAUAGUGAUCCGGUGGUUCUGAAUGGAAGGGCCAUCGCUCAACGGAUAAAAGGUACUCCGGGGAUAACAGGCUGAUACCGCCCAAGAGUUCAUAUCGACGGCGGUGUUUGGCACCUCGAUGUCGGCUCAUCACAUCCUGGGGCUGAAGUAGGUCCCAAGGGUAUGGCUGUUCGCCAUUUAAAGUGGUACGCGAGCUGGGUUUAGAACGUCGUGAGACAGUUCGGUCCCUAUCUGCCGUGGGCGCUGGAGAACUGAGGGGGGCUGCUCCUAGUACGAGAGGACCGGAGUGGACGCAUCACUGGUGUUCGGGUUGUCAUGCCAAUGGCACUGCCCGGUAGCUAAAUGCGGAAGAGAUAAGUGCUGAAAGCAUCUAAGCACGAAACUUGCCCCGAGAUGAGUUCUCCCUGACUCCUUGA